GACGAACGCUGGCGGCGUGCUUAACACAUGCAAGUCGAACGAGUGGCGAACGGGGGAGUAAUACGUGGGUAACCUGCCCUCUUGUUGGGGUAAGCCUUGGAAACGGGGUCUAAUACCCAAUACGGGGGUUGGGCUCGCGGCCUAUCAGCUGGGUGGGGGGGUGGUGGCCUACCAAGGCGGUGACGGGUAGGCGGGCUGAGAGGGUGAACGGGAACAUAGGGACGGAGCAACGGCCCAGAGUAGUACGGGAGGGAGCAGUGGGGGAUAUGGCACAAUGCGCGAAAGCCCGAUGCCGCGAGGAUGCGUGGGGGAUGAAGGCUGUAGGGUUGUAAACCUCUGGCGCUAUCGAACGGGUAGGUGGAGAAGAAGCGCCGGCUAACUACGUGCCAGCAGCCGCGGUAAUAC
rnacentral:rRNA from 1 species